rnacentral:rRNA from 1 species
AUCGAACGCUGGCGGCAUGCCUAACACAUGCAAGUCGAACGAGUGGCGGACGGGUGAGUAAUGUCUGGGAAACUGCCUGAUGUAGGGGGAUAACGACGGGAAACGGUAGCUAAUACCGCAUACCAUCGGAUGUGCCCAGAUGGGAUUAGCUAUUAGGUGGGGUAAAGGCUCACCUAGGCGACGAUCCCUAGCUGGUCUGAGAGGAUGACCAGCCACACUGGAACUGAGACACGGUCCAGACUCCUACGGGAGGCAGCAGUGGGGAAUAUUGCACAAUGGGCGCAAGCCUGAUGGAGCAAUGCCGCGUGUAUGAAGAAGGCCUUCGGGUUGUAAAGUACUUUCAUCGGGGAGGCGUUACCCGAAGAUGAAGCACCGGCUAACUCCGUGCCAGCAGCCGCGGUAAUGC